CCCGCUGAACUUAAGCAUAUCAAUAAGCGGAGGAAAAGAAACCAACAGGGAUUGCCUUAGUAACGGCGAGUGAAGCGGCAAUUGCUCAAAUUUGAAAUCUGGCCCUUUUAGGGUCCGACUUGUAAUUUGUAGAGGAAGCUUCGGUGGGGGGACCGGUUCAAGUCCUCUGGAACGGGACGUCAUAGAGGGUGAGAACCCCGUCCGGCCAGGUACCCAAGCCUUAUGUUGCUCCUUCGACGAGUCGAGUUGUUUGGGAUUGCAGCUCAAAAUGGGUGGUAAAUUCCAUCUAAGGCUAAAUAUUGGCCUGAGACCGAUACCGCACAAGUAGAGUGACCGAAAGAUGAAAAGCACUUUGAGAAGAGAGUUAAAAAGCACACUGAAAUUGUUGUUAGGGAAGCGCUUGCGGUCAGACCCCUUCUAUGGUUGUUCAACCGGUUCAUUGUGACCGGCUCACUUUUCCGUAGUAGGGCCAACAUCGGUUGAGGUGGUCAGAUAAAGGCCCUGGGAAAGUGACUCUUCGGAGUGUUAUAGCCUAGGGUAUAAUGUGACCUACUUAGACCGAGCGCAGCGAUUUUCCAGGAUGUUGGCAUAAUGGCUGCAAGCGGCCCGUCUUGAAACACGG
rnacentral:rRNA from 1 species